CGGGCACGCGGAGGAUCUGGGACAGCGGAUUCCGGCCGCUCCCUUCCGGUUCGGCGGUGCGACCUCUGCGGAGACCUCGGUCUCCAUGGCGACCCCGCCAGUGUCCCCCAACAGGAAGCCUCGGAGGGCGGAAACGGGGUCCUGAGGUCACAUGCGCUGCGCAGACGUCCUCGCACGGGGGCUGCCGGCCCUCUCCCACGCCCCCCUCGGAACCUAGGAACGGCCUCAGUUUCCCCACAGAGGACAGGGGCUCCUGCGCCCGCUCUCCUCUCUGCUGUCCUGAGCUGCUGCCUCAGUUUCCCCCGCGGAGGAGCGGUCAGCAGCCGGGGAGGUCCACGUGUCAGGCGUCCACGGCGACCUGAAGGUGCUUGCGUCGCCCCCGAAAGCCACGCUAGCUCAGGGAGGCUCCAUCCAGGUGAACUGCAGUUUCUCGGGCUGUGACCUCAAGGAUUUUGUGCUGGGCCUAGAGACCGACUUCUCCAAAGUCUUGGUCGACUCCGGAACCAACUGGAAGCUGUUCAGUCUGAGUGACAUUAACAGAGACAGCAAUCCCAUCUGCUACCUGAGCUGCGGCUCUGGGCGUCAGACGACCGAUGUGGUCUCCCUCACGGUUUAUGUGCUUCCGGAGGAGGUGGAGCUGGGCCCCCUGCCGUCCUGGCAGCCAGUGGGCGAGAACCUCACCCUGCGCUGCCUCGUGGUGGGUGGGGCGCCCCGGAACCGGCUCACGGCGGUGCUGCUCCGGGACCAGG